UGGGGAAUAUUGGACAAUGGGCGCAAGCCUGAUCCAGCAACGCCGCGUGGAGGAUGAAGGUCUUCGGAUCGUAAACUCCUGUCAGAUGGGACGAAGACAGUGGGGUGAACAAUCCCGCUGUUUGACGGUACCAUCAGAGGAAGCCCCGGCUAACUCCGUGCCAGCAGCCGCGGUAAUACGGAGGGGGCGAGCGUUACGUAAAGGGCGCGUAGGCGGCCCGGUAAGUCAAAGGUGAAAUCCCUCGGCUCAACUGAGGAACUGCCUUUGAAACUGUCGGGCUUGAGGCCGGGAGGGGGUAGCGGAAUUCCCAGUGUAGCGGUGAAAUGCGUAGAUAUUGGGAGGAACACCAGUGGCGAAGGCGGCUACCUGGACCGGUUCUGACGCUGAUGCGCGAAAGCGUGGGUAGCAAACAG
rnacentral:rRNA from 1 species